UACGGGGGGGGCAAGCGUUGUUCGGAAUUACUGGGCGUAAAGGGCUUGUAGGUGGCCAACUAAGUCAGACGUGAAAUCCCUCGGCUUAACCGGGGAACUGCGUCUGAUACUGGAUGGCUCGAGUGUAGGAGAGGGAUGCGGAAUUCCAGGUGUAGCGGUGAAAUGCGUAGAUAUCUGGAGGAACACCGGUGGCGAAGGCGGCAUCCUGGACCGGUAUUGACGCUGAGGCGCGAAAGCGAGGGGAGCAAACGGG
rnacentral:rRNA from 1 species